UUUAUACGUCGAAUUUUGGUCGCGUCGAAUGCAAUUAAGACAAUAGAUAAUGAGAUGAUAAACCUCAUUCAGCUUCGUUAUCUAUUGUUUGAUUUGCAUUCGACGCGACCGAAAUUCGACGUAUAAA